rnacentral:rRNA from 1 species
GAUCCUGGCUCAGGAUGAACGCUAGCUACAGGCUUAACACAUGCAAGUCGAGGGGCAGCAUUAGGUAGCAAUACUGAGAUGGCGACCGGCGCACGGGUGCGUAACGCGUAUCCAACCUUCCCGUUACUCUCGGAUAGCCUUCCGAAAGGGAGAUUAAUACGAGAUGGUGUUGAAAUUCCGCAUGUUAUUUCAACUAAAGAUUCAUCGGUAACGGAUGGGGAUGCGUGACAUUAGGUAGUUGGUGAGGUAACGGCUCACCAAGCCGACGAUCAGUAGGGGUUCUGAGAGGAAGGUCCCCCACAUUGGAACUGAGACACGGUCCAAACUCCUACGGGAGGCAGCAGUGAGGAAUAUUGGUCAAUGGACGAAAGUCUGAACCAGCCAUGCCGCGUGAAGGUCACGGCCCUAUGGGUCUUAAACUUCUUUUGUAAGGGAGCAAUAAGCUUUACGUGUAGAGUGAUGAGAGUACCUUACGAAUAAGCAUCGGCUAACUCCGUG